UUCUUUCCUCCAUGACCGCCGCCAGAUCGUCCUCACCGAGCACCGCUGAGCUCCAGAGUCCGGUGAUCAUUACGAAGGCCUGCAGAUUCAGCUUCCUUCGUCCCCAACACGGCUAAAAACCAGCCAGAUCGGGAUGAAAACCCACCACAAAGACGAAUUCGUAAAACCACAGAUCAGAGCAGAAAAUCGUAAGAAAGAAAGAACUGGAACCAUAGGAAUCUCCUCGAGAUGGAUUAGAACAAACAGCAGAAGCUUACCUCAAUCAGCUAGGGUUACAAACCCUCGAGGCUUCGCACGAUCGAAACCGCCAUGGAAGCGACGAUCCCCGAGCGAUCUGAUCGCAGGAAGAAACGGCCAUGGCCGGAUAGGAAGGAAGGAGACCAUCAGAGGCGGAUCGGAGCGGAUCG
rnacentral:lncRNA from 1 species